CCUACGGGUGGCAGCAGUGAGGAAUAUUGGUCAAUGGACGAGAGUCUGAACCAGCCAAGUAGCGUGAAGGAUGACUGCCCUAUGGGUUGUAAACUUCUUUUAUAUGGGAAUAAAAUGUUCCACGUGUUGGAUUAUGUAUGUACCAUAUGAAUAAGGAUCGGAUAAACCCGGGUAAGCAGCCGCGGUAAUACGGAGGAUCCGAUCGUUAUCCGGAUUUAUUGGGUAUAAAGGGUUCGUAGGUGGAUUUAUAAGUCAGUUGGGAAAGUUUGCGGCUCAAUCGUAAAAUGGCAGUUGAUACUGGCAGUCUAGAGUACGAUAGAGGUGAGCGGAAUUAGUGGUGUAGCGGUAAAAUGCGUAAAUAUCACGAAGAACUCCAGUUGCGAAGGCAGCUCACUGGACUGCAACUGACACUGAGGCUCGAAAGUGUGGGUAUCAAACAGGAUUAGAUACCCGUGUAGUC
rnacentral:rRNA from 1 species